rnacentral:rRNA from 1 species
CCUACGGGUGGCAGCAGUGGGGAAUAUUGCACAAUGGGGGAAACCCUGAUGCAGCGACGCCGCGUGAGUGAAGAAGUCAUUCGUUAUGUAAAGCUCUAUCAGCAGGGGAGAAACUGACGGUACCUGAGUAAGAAGCCCCGGCUAACCACGGGCCAGCAGCCGCGGUAAUACGUAGGGGGCAAGCGUUAUCCGGAUUUACUGGGUGUAAAGGGAGCGUAGGCGGGAGUGCAAGUCUGGAGGGAAAGGCGGGGGCUCAACCCCCGGACUGCCCUGGAAACUGUACGGCUGGAGUGCAGGAGAGGUAAGUGGAAUGCGUGGUGUAGCGGUGAAAUGCGUAGAUAUUAGGAGGAACACCAGUGGCGAAGGCGGCUUACUGGACUGUAACUGACGUUGAGGCUCGAAAGCGUGGGGAGCAAACGGGAUUAGAUACCCGGGUAGUC